rnacentral:rRNA from 1 species
CGAACGCUGGCGGCGUGCUUAACACAUGCAAGUCGAACGAUGAAGCCCUGCUUGCAGGGUGGAUUAGUGGCGAACGGGUGAGUAACACGUGAGUAACCUGCCCCUGACUGUGGGAUAAGCCCGGGAAACUGGGUCUAAUACCGCAUAUGACACUUGGCCGCAUGGUCUGAGUGUGGAAAGUUUUUUCGGUUGGGGAUGGGCUCGCGGCCUAUCAGCUUGUUGGUGGGGUAAUGGCCUACCAAGGCGACGACGGGUAGCCGGCCUGAGAGGGCGACCGGCCACACUGGGACUGAGACACGGCCCAGACUCCUACGGGAGGCAGCAGUGGGGAAUAUUGCACAAUGGGGGAAACCCUGAUGCAGCGACGCCGCGUGAGGGAUGACGGCCUUCGGGUUGUAAACCUCUUUCAGUAGGGAAGAAGCCUUCGGGUGACGGUACCUGCAGAAGAAGUACCGGCUAAC